GGAGGAAAGUAGGGGAUCGAAAGACCUUACGCUUUUGGAGCGGCCGAUGUCUGAUUAGCUAGUUGGUAAGGUAAUGGCUUACCAAGGCAACGAUCAGUAGUUGGUCUGAGAGGACGACCAGCCACACUGGGACUGAGACACGGCCCAGACUCCUACGGGAGGCAGCAGUGGGGAAUUUUGGACAAUGGGCGCAAGCCUGAUCCAGCAAUGCCGCGUGAGUGAAGAAGGCCUUCGGGUUGUAAAGCUCUUUCAGUUGAGAAGAAAAGAUUGUGACUAAUAAUUGCAAUUCAUGACGGUAUCAACAGAAGAAGCACCGGCUAACUACGUGCCAGCAGCCGCGGUAAUACGUAGGGUGCGAGCGUUAAUCGGAAUUACUGGGCGUAAAGGGUGCGCAGGCGGUUCUGUAAGUCAGAUGUGAAAUCCCCGGGCUUAACCUGGGAACUGCGUUUGAAACUACAAAGCUAGA
rnacentral:rRNA from 1 species